AGAGUUUGAUCCUGGCUCAGGAUGAACGCUAGCGGCAGGCCUAAUACAUGCAAGUCGAACGAUAUUAAGGGGCUUGCUCCUUAAGAAAGUGGCGCACGGGUGCGUAACGCGUAUGCAACCUACCUUAAUCAGGGGGAUAGCCCGAAGAAAUUCGGAUUAACACCCCAUAGUAUAUAUAUGUGUCCCCACAUUUAUAUUAAAGAUUUAUCGGUACAAGAUGGGCAUGCGUGUCAUUAGCUAGUUGGCGGGGUAACGGCCCACCAAGGCGACGAUGACUAGGGGAUCUGAGAGGAUGACCCCCCACACUGGUACUGAGACACGGACCAGACUCCUACGGGAGGCAGCAGUAAGGAAUAUUGGUCAAUGGAGGCAACUCUGAACCAGCCAUGCCGCGUGCAGGAAGACUGCCCUAUGGGUUGUAAACUGCUUUUAUCCGGGAAUAAACCUUUCUACGUGUAGAGAGCUGAAUGUACCGGAAGAAUAAGGAUCGGCUAACUCCGUGCCAGCCGCCGCGGUAAUUC
rnacentral:rRNA from 1 species